UACGUAGGUGGCAAGCGUUGUCCGGAAUUAUUGGGCGUAAAGCGCGCGCAGGCGGCCUCUUGAGUCUGAUGUGAAAGCCCCCGGCUCAACCGGGGAGGGCCAUUGGAAACUGGGAGGCUUGAGUAUAGGAGAGAAGAGUGGAAUUCCACGUGUAGCGGUGAAAUGCGUAGAGAUGUGGAGGAACACCAGUGGCGAAGGCGACUCUUUGGCCUAUAACUGACGCUGAGGCGCGAAAGCGUGGGGAGCAAACAGGG
rnacentral:rRNA from 1 species